rnacentral:tRNA from 1 species
ACCUGGCUGGCUCAGUUGGUUGAGCAUCUGACUUCAGCUCAGGUGAUGAUCUUGCGGCUCGUGGGUUCGAGCCCUGCGCCACGCU